rnacentral:tRNA from 1 species
CGAUAGCUCAGUUGGUAGAGCAGAGGACUGAAAAUCCUUGUGUCGCUGGUUCGAUUCCGGCUCGA